rnacentral:misc_RNA from 1 species
GAUUGCGAGCGAUCCACGCGGGCACUUCAUAGUUCAUACUUCAUCCGUUUCACAAUGUAAGUCAUUCUAGCAUUUUCUAGAUUCAGAUGUUAAUGAAUCUAAAUUCAUUAACAUCAAUAUGAAUGUGGGAAAUGCUAGAAUGACUUAUAUUGUGAAACGGAGAGAGUACUGAAUUACUGA